rnacentral:tRNA from 1 species
GGAGAUGUAGCUCAGUGGUAGAGCACAGGGCUAGUAUGCAUCAGACCCUGGGUCCCAUCUUCA